UACGUAGGUGGCAAGCGUUAUCCGGAUUUGCUGGGUGUAAAGGGCGCGUAGGCGGGAUGGCAAGUCAGAUGUGAAAUCCAGGGGCUCAACCCCUGAACUGCAUUUGAAACUGUCGUUCUUGAGUACUGGAGAGGUUGACGGAAUUCCUAGUGUAGCGGUGAAAUGCGUAGAUAUUAGGAGGAACACCAGUGGCGAAGGCGGUCAACUGGACAGCAACUGACGCUGAGGCGCGAAAGCGUGGGGAGCAAACAGG
rnacentral:rRNA from 1 species